UACGUAGGGUCCGAGCGUUGUCCGGAAUUAUUGGGCGUAAAGGGCUCGUAGGCGGUUCGUCACGUCGGGAGUGAAACUCGGGGCUUAACCCCGAGCCUGCUUCCGAUACGGGCAGACUAGAGGUAGGCAGGGGAGAGCGGAACUCCUGGUGUAGCGGUGGAAUGCGCAGAUAUCAGGAAGAACACCGGUGGCGAAGGCGGGUUGCUGGGCUGACACUGACGCUGAUGCGCGAAAGCCAGGGGAGCGAACGGG
rnacentral:rRNA from 1 species